rnacentral:rRNA from 1 species
GAUGAACGCUGGCGGCGUGCCUAAUACAUGCAAGUCGAGCGAACAGACGAGGAGCUUGCUCCUUUGACGUUAGCGGCGGACGGGUGAGUAACACGUAGGUAACCUACCUAUAAGACUGGGAUAACUUCGGGAAACCGGAGCUAAUACCGGAUAAUAUUUCGAACCGCAUGGUUCGAUAGUAAAAGAUGGCUUUGCUAUCACUUAUAGAUGGACCUGCGCCGUAUUAGCUAGUUGGUAAGGUAACGGCUUACCAAGGCAACGAUACGUAGCCGACCUGAGAGGGUGAUCGGCCACACUGGAACUGAGACACGGUCCAGACUCCUACGGGAGGCAGCAGUAGGGAAUCUUCCGCAAUGGGCGAAAGCCUGACGGAGCAACGCCGCGUGAGUGAUGAAGGUCUUCGGAUCGUAAAACUCUGUUAUUAGGGAAGAACAAACGUGUAACUAACUGUGCACGUCUUGACGGUACCUAAUCAGAAAGCCACGGCUAACUACGUG